UGCCCAGCAACUCCUAUCCCUACCUCCUCGUGGUACUGGCCGGGGUACGAGUAACCUUGGGGUAGAUCGGGUAACCAACCCCCGGUGGGAACUUUGGUCGUAUGCUGACAGGGAAGG
rfam:Aedes aegypti strain Liverpool supercont1.970 genomic scaffold, whole genome shotgun sequence.